UUCAUUGCUACGGACAAAUUCCAUUAUUAUAUUGCUUGUUGGUCAUUGCUAAUCAAAAUAGCAAUAGAUUAGGAACCAAAAUUCCAUUGCUAAUUAGCAACAGAUUCUUUCCUUCGCUAAUUUAGCAACAGAGGAUAGUCAGUGAGAACGUGGAGAUUGAGAAACCCAAACCACUCAUUCUGAAUAGUUAAAGAAGUUAAUAGACCAAGAGAGCCAGGAACCAUGCACAACUGUUUAACCUGCUAAGCAAAUCAAUUAAUAUGUGAUGGCAACAAAGUUUAUUCUUGCAAGGCCAAGUCAUUUUUCAAUAUGCUAGUUUGAUUUAGAUAACCAAAAUUUAGUGGGUAAAAUUGUGUUUGGUACCGCUCUAUGAACUGCAAUUUUGUUUACACACAAUGUAGACAGACAUAUUGGCAGAAUUAUGACUCCUUUGCAGUUAAAAACCACUCUUCCAAAGAUUUCAUAGCCACUUCAGAUGAUUAUCCUGUCAAGGCCUUUCAAAAAGUUAUAAAUCCAACUUUUAAUUCUGUUCCAAACCAGAACAUUAUUCAAGUAUUUAAUUCUUGAUACAGUUUCAAAUAGGAAUUUAAUGUCUUCAUCACUACAUGAAAUGAAUAACAGAACAAAGAUGCAAUUAAGAACAAGGAAGAAACCAACCACCAAAUUAAGUUGCUACAAAUUCUCACUCGGACUCCUCCACAAAUGUUUCGACUCGAAGAAGAACAAAUCCCACUGCAACUCCAACAAGAACUAGGCCAUUCAUGAUUGCUGCAAUCCUGAAUAUCUCAGCAACAGCACUGCAAGUAGAAGAGACUGCACCCCCACCUCUGCCUUUCGCUUUUGAUGGGGUUCUCAGAGAGCUCACCACCUUUGCAAAGGACUGGUCAGGACAUACAGGCAGUCCUAAUGAGGUUACACUGUUGUGAGCUUUUAACCCACCGAAGGAAUUCAGUCCUGUUAUGUAAUGCACAUUUAUGCUCUUCCUCCUAGGGCUGGAAAUGGUCGCUGCAGCAAAUGUUGCAGGAGAGAGUGUUGCUGAAGUUGUUGCCAUUGUUCUGUUACCAAAAACAAGCUGUUUCUUAUGGUGUUUGUGAAGUUAGCAGUAAUUGAAGAUGAUAAGAGGGAAAGAAAUUGAGAUUUUGUAUGGGAAGGGAUGGAUAAAGUCCAUAUGAGAUGGAUGGUUGACAAGCAGAUUAGAUAAGCUUACUUUCUAGGUAAAGAAUUAAAGAUAGUUCACCCUUAAAUGCUAGCCAAGGGAAAAAAUUGCGAGCCCCAAGGAUAGGCAGUGAAGAUUGACCACAAAUUUAAAUCAACUGGUGCAUUAUUUGGACCUAAGUGUGAUGAAA
rnacentral:misc_RNA from 1 species